CUUUUGGUUGAUCAAUAGAUCUUUCGAUCAUAAAAACCAGAAAAGAUUAACUAAAAGUUAAUGUUUUUUUACUUUUCAGAUGAGUUGCAUGUGAUUUCCGAUUAUAGAUAUAUUCAAUCAGAUGAUAAUCCGUUGUUUUUGUUUAUGUCCGUAGACGAUCUGAGUCCAAGAAAAUAUCUUUCAAUAUAAACCAAAGCGUUCACUUCUCGGAUCCAGAUUUUCCAUUAUCUUCCGGGAUCGAGAGGUUGCAGGCAGACUGGAGAAUGUUGGCUAAGUUGCCCCAGAUGCAACAUGGUAAACGCGAAUCACUAUGGCGUGAGUCAAGAAUGGGGUGAACUCCAGUUUUUUACGUUGCUUCCCCCAGUACAUUGAAUGGUUUCUACCUCACUACAAUCCAAAACCUGGCCCAGAACAUCUGACAAAAAAAAACAUUGUAAAGGUAUGGCUUGUUGAUCGAUAAGCUCCUCCUGCAAGAAUAAUUUGAAGUUCGGGACGUUGCACCAUACUCCAACCGGAAGAAGCCUUCUUUUAUUCUCAAUGUAAGUCUUUCUGCAUGUUGCAGGAAUUUUAGGCCUCUUAUACAUGUUCCAGUCACAUUGAAAAUAGUAAUAUCAUUAAUAGCAAGUUUAAAUAAGAUAUAAACGACAAAGAAAACAUAUUUCAAAAACGUAAAUAGGAAUUUAAGAUUGCUUACAUUCUCAUCCGCCAAGAUGAAUUUCAUGGUUUUCCCUGAUAGUUGAAUAUUUUGUUUCUAAGAGUGUGGAACCUUAACAUGAACAAACCAAGUGUUUUUCGAUGGCCUCAGGUCGUUAAUGCCGGUGAUUUUUCAUUAGAAGCACUCGAUGUUUUGAUCUGCAUUUUAGAAGCCAUUUUUUGUUUGACUGUGUGAGUUUGAUUAGGAAGAGGCGUUGUUAUAUAUAAUAGGAAGAGGCGAUAGGGAUGGGUGUUUAGGUUAUUAGGAAAAUUUGUGGCAUACUCUGAAUCUCAUGAGAUUGUCUACUUAAUAUUAGGAAAAUUCAGUUACCAAUUUGAAACCCAAAAUAUUAUGCGAGUAUUGGACACGCAAUAUGAUAAGAUUGAAUUCCUAUGAACCGUGAUUGUAGGUAAAUUAUAUAAACUUCAUUUUCUAUAUUUUGAUUCUCCAUUUAUUAUAGGUAUCAUAUAUCGAAUAUUAUGUUGUUAAUAUUAUGAAUACUCGCCAAAAUCGAGGAGUACAUAACGAUUUUUAAAAUUGAAAAUGGAAAUUACUGGUUGUUUUAACGAUAAAUAGAUUUUAAAAAAAUAUUUUUGAGAACUUUAUUUAUAUUUACUGUAAUACUUUUGGUUCAAAUUCAAAUUUCAUAUUUUUGGCUUGAUUAAAUAAUUAUUUAGUAUCCAUAAGUAUAUAUUACAUUUUCAUAAAUGAAUAUUUUAAAUAACAUAUAGGUAGGUGAAAUGAACUGAAAAAUAAACAUUUGACCAUUUAUUUAUAUUUCUGUGAAGUAGAUGUUUGAGUUUUAACCCCCGAGCUUUUUUAUUUCAGGGUAUAGGGUUUUAUAAUAGGGAUAAUUUUAAUGGGCUUAACAUCCAUUCUUAUUGGCUUUAAAAAUCCAGGCCUUACUCGGAUCUGGGCCGAAUUUGGUUUGCUUUAAAUAAGUCCUGUUAUGGUUAGGUUUUAAAAAUGGGAGAGUUCUGAUUGGUCAAAACUGGGUCGACAUAUAUUUAUUUUUUAGAAAAGGAAAUUAGGCAGUGGCAGAGUUGUAAUUAAUUUGAAAAGGCAGGGGCAGAAUCCUAUGAGGGAUUCUUCUUUAAUAGUA